AGGGAGCUGGUAAGUCGCCUACAGGAGCGAAAUGUUCAGGUUUUCCUAAUAUCUGGUGGCUUUAGGAGUAUUAUAGAGCAUGUUGCUUCAAAGCUCAAUAUCCCAGCAACCAAUGUAUUUGCCAGUAGGCUGAAAUUCUACCUUAAUGGAUGCUUUCAUUGGAUUUGGAGGAAAUGUGAUCAGGCAACAAGUCAAGGAUAACGCCAAAUGGUAUAUCACUGAUUUUGUAGAGCUGCUGGGAGAACCGGAAGAAUAACAUCCAUUGUCAUACAGCUCCAAACAACUUCAGAUGAAUUUUUACAAGUUACACAGAUUGAUACUGUUUGCUUACAAUUGCCUAUUACAACUUGCUAUAGAAAGUUGGUACAGAUGAUCUGCACUGUCAAGUAAACUACAGUUAGGAAUCCUCAAAGAUUGGUUUGUUUGUUUUUAACUGUAGUUCCAGUAUUAUAUGAUCACUAUCGAUUUCCUGGAGAGUUUUGUAAUCUGAAUUCUUUAUGUAUAUUCCUAGCUAUAUUUCAUACAAAGUGUUUUAAGAGUGGAGAGUCAAUUAAACACCUUUACUCUUAGGAAUAUAGAUUCGGCAGCCUUCAGUGAAUAUUGGUUUUUUUCCCUUUGGUAUGUCAAU
rnacentral:lncRNA from 1 species